UGCCGCGCCCCUCGGCUCGGAGGAGAGACCCCAGGCAUGCCUGCGUCGGUGCCCCCCGCUGUUGCAGCGGCUGCGGCAGAGGCCGGUCAGCCGCACGCUGGUACGUACCUCAAACAUCAGCCGGAGUCGGAGGAGCUGCCCCAGGGCCAGCCGCUGUGGGAGCGCAUAGACGAGGCGGUCGGUCGCCUGGCGACGACCAUGAAGGGACGCCGGAUCAUGAUCAUCGUGCUCCUCGUGCUCCUGCUCGCCGUAUGCCUGGCGCUCAUCGGAGUCUUCGCAGUGCCCAGAAACAGGCGACACAAUGACGAGGGCGCCCUCUACCUGACUCCCCAUGUCCAAAGCGAGGAAGCAGGUGAUGUCCGGCAGCGCAGCGUGGUGUCGAUGUUCUCCAACAAGGAGACCGGAACUGAAGCCCACGCGGGCCUGGUCACCGUCAACGAGACACUUCAGAGCCACCUGUUCUUCCUGCAUGUGCAGGCAAGGAAGAACAACCUAGAAGCCCCCCUGCUACUUUGGCUCCAGGGGGGUCCCGGCAGUUCGUCGCUCUUCGGUUAUUUCCUCGAAAAUGGGCCCGUCGCCAUCGAUGCCUACGGCAAGUUGUACCCGAGGGAGAGCACGCUGUGCGAGUACGCGAACGUGAUCUAUCUGGACCAGCCCGUGGGAGCCGGGUUUAGCCGGACCGACGAUCUCAAGGGUUACCCGACCAGCUUGGAAGAGAUCGCCCGGGACAUCCACGGGUUCCUGGUGCAGUUCUUUCGGCUGUUCCCGGAGUACAAGGGACGCGAUUUCUACGUUGCUGGCGAAUCCUACGGAGCUAGGGCCGCAGCAGCAAUAGCCAUCCGACUGCACUCGAACCCGGACCUCCCGGUGAACCUGCGAGGCGUCAUCAGCGGCGUCGGUUUCCUGGGGCCCGUCACUGACUUGCUGGAUCUGUCUGACUACUAUCACCAGCUGAGCCUGCUCGACUACCAGGGCUGGCAGGCGUACGCCACUCGAAUGGACACCAUCAGGCAGAUGGUGGCCGGCAACCGCACCGUGCAGGCAUUGCAGCUGCUCUUCAAGACUGCGUUCGUCUCCACGGGCGAAGGGAGCGCCCCGACCAUGUUCCAGCGGAUGACCGGUUACUCCUACGACGGCAACGCGCUGCAGAGCGUCGAGCCGGCCGAGUUCGCGGCCUACAGGGACUACGUCGCCAGCGAGGUCUUCAAGGACGCCGUGCACGUCGGUCGCAACGCUGAGUUCUUGCGCGAACCCCUCAUCAACCAGCAGCUGAGCGGGGACUACCUCAGGAACGUCACGGACAUCGUCAGUACGCUGAUGGACAACUACAGGUUCCUGGCGUAUGCGGGCCAGCUGGACCCGAUCUUCUCAGCGGCUCGCAUCGAGGAAUACUACAGAAGCGUCGAGUGGAGUCGGGCCGAACAGUUCAGACACGGCCGUCGCCUGCCCUUCUACGCGGGCCCGCAGGAGGAAGGACUCUCGGGAUACGUGACGUCGGCGGGCGACUUCUCGUUCGUGGUGGUCGCCCGAGCGGGACACUACCCGGGUUUCGACCAGCCCAGAGCCGUCGACGAAGUGAUGCGACGCUUCCUGACGAACAACCUGACGGCGCGGCACGCGUGAGCACCACGAGCCGUUCGCGCGAGCGAAGUGUCUCUGUAGUAAGUGGCAACAGUCUGUCUACACAGACGUGCCGAGCAGUGACCGCGACGGUCCGGAUGGAUCAUGGACGUAGGCUCGACAGAAAACACAUGUCAGCGAUUGCCGUGACGACAGGGAUUGACAGUUUUUACGAACUAGAUGCUUGGUUCGUGUCAGUACGGUCUCAUUCCCUCUUGUGGCAAUUACAGCUGCGUUUCCACGACCAACCGAGCACCUUAUGGAAGGAACGAAGGAAUGAGUGACAAAAAGCGUCCAUCUGAACAACCUAAAAACCUGCGGAACUGUUUCCCCGUCUUAAUUCCUCUGGAUCCAGUGUUUACGCGGUGAUGUGUCAAAUGUUAUCGAGAACGUGAGUUCCUACGGCUCUAGUACAUGCAUACUUCGAAAGGCAUUCGGUUACAUUGUGCUCGUGCAUCUCGUCAAGACCAAGUGCGCAGAACAGCUUUGAACAUUGUUUAAAGCCAGCUACGCUAUUGUCUCUAGGCAGUGAAUUUGCCUUCGUUUCAGCCGUUUUUUUUUUACAGCUGUGUACACCGGUGACUUGAGCUACACGCAUUUAUGUGCGAGCAUUUUACGUUAUUCCCACACAUUGAUCGUGGACGUGCUUUAGAGUGCCAUGGCUAAAGCGUUUUCUGUCUGUUUGUCCUGGCAUGAUGUUUUUUUCUGGUUUCGACUUAUUUAUUGCGCUAAAAUUUUGAAAAGAAGUACACUGGAAAGGCUGCCUUUCUUCCUUUCGUUUGUUUGGAUGGCGCAGCCGUCUUUUUUACAGCCAUUGCAAUUAUGGACUCGCUGCACCCGUUUUGAUGUCCGCUGGUGUCGGCCGCUGCUAGAAUUCCAAAAGCCUAAUUAGCGACAUGGUUGUAAAUACAUUUUACAAGUCAAGUGCGGGGCUUUAUGCUGCAAGACCCCCAAUAUGAACAUGAGGAAAUGAGUAGGGGGGAGCGCUAGAUUAAGUUUUUGACCGUGUGGGUUUCUUUAGUGCACACCUAUAAGUUUAAGUACAGAAGUGUAUUUUGCAUUAUGCCCCCAUCUAAAUUCAGCAGCUGUGGCUGGGAGCACGCGUGCGCUUAGCAGCGCAUUCCCACACCCAUUACUACAUGUGCACCGGGCAGGAAAAACUACAGAGAAAGAAGAGUAACCAGUGCACCGCGAUGAUCCGAAGUUACGACCAACAGUUCAGCAGUCCAGGAUCCUACACCUUCUCCACAUAGUUGACGCUACAGCAGUGGAGAAAACACAUCCUGCCAUAGGCUAUUGCACCAGCAGCUGCCAUGGUUGGUUAACGCGUAUAUGUACCACAUAAAACUGGCGCCAUUCGAUUUGUCGUGACCGAGCACAUCACUUUCCCUGUUGCGGCAUGGUUAGCUGUUUGGCCGGCCACAGGCGAUAUGAUUUCCCAAAAACUGUGGUUGCCAUAAUUUUCACUGCAGCAUGAAGAAGGAAAAAAAAAACUCUUAAGAUUUCGUAAACAGAAGUUAUCCAAGUGCUAUAAUAUAAUCGCAUACGAUAAUAAAUAAUCAUCAUAAAGCAGACUGAUUCACUGGACUUCGUGAAAUUAAUUUAGGCACAUAUUAAAGAUGAAUACAUCAUCAGUAGUGUGAAGACUUUUUGCGCCACAGGAGAAACUGUACCUUUUCAUAUUUUUUUCUGUUCUUUUUUUGUUCUUUACAUAAACGCUGUAUUUUACACACUGUGCUGAAAUAUGGGUGAACGGAUUCGCGACGUCCGUCUCCAAUUUUUUUUUCAAUUCAUAUUCUACCCUUUUCUAUUUGGUUAGUGCCCCUUUUGAAGCGCGUUGAAUGAUAUAAAAUUAAUACGAGUCCCAUAAUUACCAUCUAUUGUCAUGCCAUCGUAUUGCACAACAGAAGCCUGGAAGCGGUCUGGGAGGCAAUCACUUUAUUGCGCGAAUAUAGACCUCAAUUCCGCGGCGGUAACGCGAAGACGCGCCGCUGACGGUUGACGGGGUAAGGAAUGACGCGGAUUGGGGCCGCGCGGUCUUUAUGCAAGGCAUGGAACCUGCUUGACGUCUCUUAUCAAGACGUCGAGUGAGGGAAUACAUACAUAAACUGAAUCCGAUAACAUAGUGCCGCGCACUAUAGGUGCAUAGCUGUACGCAUACAGCAACAAAAAAAAAAUCUAUUUCACCGCGAGGACGUAGCGACGAAUACGAUAGCAACGAACUGGAAUGUUAUACGAAGUAAGGCUAGUAGCUAACUUUUUUAGAUCCGAUCUCGCGUAACUCUACAAAAGGCUGGUGUAAGAGAAUACGGCCGCUCCAGGGAGCGAUGCGGUUUUCGUGCUCUAAUUCGUCUGAACGCGAAGUAAGCAGUGAGAGCACACCACGUAAAAGUGUAUACGAGCCGUAUGCCUGUCAAGAUGGCGCACGCGCCAGCGUCUUUAUGUUCAAAGUUCGCAGUUGCUGCUCGAGCGACGCAUCCAAUCCCCCUCCCGCCCACAGGCGCCCCUUCGUGCUCCUUCACCCGACGAAAGGCAGGAGGGGCGUUUCCUCUCUGCUUGACGAGCCAUCGACGGCAGGCCUCGCACGCAGGGCGAUGUUAUCGCAUGCGCCCUACAUGCGCCAGAGCUGGCCGGCUUCUUUCAUCUGCGCUUCAGCUGCGUUCAUCGUCACCGCUCGUGCGUAAAAGAUACGAUGCACCGGGAGAUCUUUUUGGACUUUAUAUGAAACGUGACGGCGACGGCGAAACCCCCGAGAGUGUCCAUAUGAAUGCCGUCGCAACAAAAUGAACAAAUGCCUUUCAAAAAUCAGAGACUAGAUUGGGUCAGUGAAAUCCUAGCACAGUACACUUUGCGGUAGUAUUAGCAAAACAUUUCUUUUU